rnacentral:snoRNA from 1 species
CUAAAUAAUGAUGAUAUCCAGACUUUUUUAUGUGAUAUGAGUUACGAUGAUUAUAUCACUUACAUGCACUACCAUCUGAAUUAC